GUUUGAGUGAUGACUCCACAAAUUGUCGGAUACCCCUUCACUCCUCUUAUGAGUGAUAACAGUGGUCUGACAAAC
ensembl:snoRNA